GUGGGGAAUCUUGCGCAAUGGGCGAAAGCCUGACGCAGCCAUGCCGCGUGAAUGAUGAAGGUCUUAGGAUUGUAAAAUUCUUUCACCGGGGACGAUAAUGACGGUACCCGGAGAAGAAGCCCCGGCUAACUUCGUGCCAGCAGCCGCGGUAAUACGAAGGGGGCUAGCGUUGCUCGGAAUUACUGGGCGGAAAGGGCGCGUAGGCGGACAGUUUAGUCAGAGGUGAAAGCCCAGGGCUCAACCUUGGAAUUGCCUUUGAUACUGGCUGUCUUGAGUACGGGAGAGGUGAGUGGAACUCCGAGUGUAGAGGUGAAAUUCGUAGAUAUUCGGAAGAACACCAGUGGCGAAGGCGACUCACUGGCCCGUUACUGACGCUGAGGCGCGAAAGCGUGGGGAGCAAACAGGAUUAGAAACCCCAGUAGUCC
rnacentral:rRNA from 1 species